rfam:Paenibacillus yonginensis strain DCY84 chromosome, complete genome.
UCCACCGCGAGGUGGAAUCCAAAGGAAGCUGGAGGCAAACUUCCGGCCCAAGGAACACGAACAUCAUCAGGCAUAGGAUACGGGAUGAGUCUGCUAAACAAGACGAAGUCCAAUUAACUACACGGACGUACCAAUGUAAAUGAUGUGGGUAUAUGGAAGGAAAGUGAAUCGU